AUUGCUGCAGUUGGGAUGGAGUCACUUGUGACUUAUUAAACGGUCAUGUUAUCGGGUUAGACCUUAGUUGUAGUCUGCUUAGUGGAAGUAUUCAUCCCAAUAGCACCCUCUUCCAACUUCAUCAUCUCCAGGCACUAAACCUUGCUUACAAUCACUUCAGCUAUUCUUCAAUCCCACAUAACAUUGGCCGAUUGACAAAUUUGGUUUCGCUUGAUCUUUCUUCUGAUUUUUAUGGACUACAACUUGAUGAGAGAACAUUUGAAACAAUGCUUCAAAACUUGACAAAUCUGGAAGUACUAUCUCUCUUUCUUGUCAACAUCUCAUCUCCGAUGCCUGUGAAUAUUUCUUCCUCUUUAAGGUACCUGGAUCUUCGUUAUACUAAUCUGCGAGGUGUUCUAACAGAGAGCUUUUUCCUUCUGCCAAACAGCUUGGAAACGCUCAAACUGAGUGGGAAUGAUCUUCUCAAAGGAGUUUUUCCAAAGAUCCACCGGAGCAACACUCUGUUAAUGGAGUUGGAUAUUUCAUACACAGGCAUCUCUGGUGAGCUGCCUCAUUCAAUUGGCACCUUUAGUUCAUUGAAAUACUUAAACCUCCAAGGAUGCCAAUUCUCUGGUUCCAUUCCUAAUUCCAUUGACAACCUAACCCAAAUUACGGAGUUGAUUUUAUCUUAUAAUCAUUUCACUGGACAUAUUCCUUCCACAAUCUCUAAAUUGAAGUACCUCACAAAUUUACAUCUUUCUGACAACUCCUUUUCAGGUGAAAUUCCUGAUGUUUUUUCUAAUCUCAAAGAGCUACGUUAUUUAGAUCUUUUUAAUAACAGCUUCAUCGGUCCAUUUCCUGCUUCAAUUUUAAGUUUGACACAUCUUGAAUACUUAGGAUUGUCGAGUAAUUCCCUAUCUGGCCCACUGCCUAGCAAAGCAAGCAUGCUUCAAAAGCUAUCCGAACUGCAUUUGUCUUACAACUCGCUGAAUGGUACCAUACCAUCUUGGGUGUUUAACCUCCCUUUGCUAUCUUCGUCGUGGCUCAAUCAUAAUCAAUUUAGUGGACUAGCCGAUGAGAUCAAAACAAACCCAACAUUAGAAUUCCUGUAUUUAAAUAAUAAUCAACUCAGCGGUUCUUUUCCUCAAUCACUUGUGAAUCUCACAAACCUUUCUACCCUUGACCUUUCAUCAAAUAACAUCACUAUUGAUGAGGGAAUGAAUAUCACCUUUCCUAGCCUUGAAAUUUUGCAGUUAUCAUCUUGUGAACUGAAGGAUUUUCCACACUUGUUGAGAAAUGUAAAGACACUUCAGGUCUUGGAUAUUUCUAACAAUAAGAUUUGUGGUCAAAUCCCUAACUGGUUUAGCGGCAUGAGGAUGGGACUCGUUGCAGCUAUUAAACCUUUCUCAUAAUUCAUUAACAGGCCACCUACCACAAUUUCAUUUCCAUAAUCUAGUGUCUCUUGAUCUGAAAUUUAACUCCCUUCAGGGUCCACUACCUUCAUCCAUUUGUAACAUGAGCAGACUUUUCUUAUUAGAUUUAUCACAUAACUACUUCAGUGACUCAGUUGCACAUUGCUUGGGAAGCAUGGCUAGUCUAACCGUGCUAGACUUGAGAAGGAACAAUUUCAUAGGGAAUCUUCCCCCAUUAUGUGCACAGGGCACUUCAUUGAGUACCAUUGUCGUAAAUGGUAAUCGAUUUGAAGGACCUGUACCUGUGUCGUUGCUCAAGUGUAAUGUUCUAGAAGUCCUUGAUGUGAGGAACAAUGCUAUAAAUGACACAUUUCCAGCUUGGCUCGGAACUCUUCAAGAGCUGCAGGUCCUUAUAUUAACGUCGAACAAGUUCCAUGGACCUAUAAGUACUUGUCAGACUAAGCUUUGCUUUCCCAACUUGCAAAUUUUUUAUCUUUCUCGUAAUGAUUUCAGUGGCUCACUUCCUGCAAAAGUUUUUGGAAACUUCAAGGCAAUGAUCAAAUUAGAUGACGAAGACACAAGAGAGAUCAAGUACAUGGAAUCUAAGUCAAAUUUGUCAUUUGACACAUCUUAUGAGGAUUCAGUGAGUUUGGUAAUCAAAGGGCACGAUAUUGAGCUACAAAGAAUCAGCACAAUUACGACAACCAUAGAUCUCUCAAGCAACCAUUUUGAAGGUGUCAUUCCGGAAACACUAAAGGAUCUCAGCGCACUUUGGCUACUCAAUUUAUCCCACAACAAUCUCAUAGGUCAUAUUCCAAUGGAAUUGGGGCAAUUGAAUACACUUGAAGCUUUAGAUCUCUCCUGGAAUCGGCUCACUGGAAAGAUUCCGCAGGAAUUGACAAGAAUAAACUUUCUAGCAGUCUUAAACCUCUCCCAAAAUCAUCUCGUCGGACCAAUUCCUCAAGGUCCACAAUUCAACACAUUUGGAUAUGACUCAUAUGGUGGCAACCUUGAUUUAUGUGGUCUUCCUUUAUCAAAGCAAUGUGAAACAAGUGAUUCAUCACAUGUUCCUCAACAAGAAGAUGAAGGCGAGUCAUAUUUUUUUAGUGGAUUUACGUGGGAAUCAGUAGUCAUAGGCUACAGUUGUGGUCUAGUUGUUGGAACUUUUCAUGUGGAGUCUCAUGUUUAAAUAUCGUAAGCCAAAAUGGUUUGUGGAAUUUUUUGAUGGACUCAUGCCUCACAAAAGAAGAAGGCCAAAGAAGAGAGCUCAGAGAUGACGGACUUAAUGGAAGAUUGAGAGGGUAACCUUGUCUUUGUUUGAUUUUGUGGACUAAUUAGUGAACUUUUCUGGUUCUGUUUUUGUCUUUUCAAUUUUCUAUUUGUUGUUUGUAUAUGUUUGAUAGAAACAUAAUUAUAUGUGUGUUAUUCAAGUUAUGUUAGUUUGUUUCUGUUUCAAGUUGAUAGAAGUGAUUUACACAGCCACUCAUUAGUUAUGUUACUCAGACUCUUCAAAAAUGUCAACGACUACAUAUUGAAUUCUUCAAAAGUAGAGCAUUUUUUAUGAAACCAACACAAAUGCAACACCAUUUUAUUUUUAGGAGAGUCGGAGCAACAUAGCUCAUCAGCAUAACAAAAACAGGAAAUUGCACAAGCAAAUAGAUCAGUUUGGUUUAUGAUUGAAAUCACUUGAUAUUAGAAAGUUUAUAUUUUUGAAAAUUUAAGUAGAAGAGUACUCAAAACUACAUAAUUUGCUAAUAAUUUUGUGGUUCUGCAUCUUUAGAAUCAUAAAUCACUUAAAAUGUUCUCUAACUCAAUAUCAACUUCCGCAAAUUUAAUUUUAGUAAGUUUUUACAUAUAUUUAUACUUCGUGUACGAAAAAUAAUGUCUCUGGUUGUUCAACAACUAAUUCAUAUUGUUUGAUUAUCAAUGCGGAAAAGGUUUUUUUAAAAGGGCAAAAUGUUCUAUACAAGGAUUUUAGAAGUGACUAGUACUCAUUCAUGGACUACAAGUGACUUUGAGUCUUCCUGGAAAUUGACUUAACACUUAGGACAACCACAAAUUAUUUGUUUGGAUGUGUUUCUUUUCUUUCGCUAAUUUAUACCUCAAUAGUCCCAUGCAUAGACAAGUCAACAACGCUACUUUAUGAAAUACUGUUUGGUUAAUUGUUCACUAUAUUUUAAUGUGGAGGUCGUUGUAAUAAUUAAGAAAUGGAAUAGUGUUUGGUUAAUUAUAGCAUCCUUUCUUCCGUGACUACUUAUUUUAUUGACUUAUUUAUAUGUUGACAAUUAUCAUGAACCCAUAUUAUAUUAUUACUAGGUAAAUUACCCGUGCUUCGCACGGAAUUGAACUAUUUUAUUAAGCUUACAUAUGAUCAUUCGAUAAUAUUCAUAUUUUCGAUACAUACACUACAUUGUCAAGAUCAUUUUAUCUUAAGGCAAAACGUUCCUCCAAAAUCUUAAAGUGCUAUAUUUUUUUAAUUUUCAUUUUUGUUAUACAAAUAUUAUGAGUCAUAGAUAGAUUUUAAGUAUAAGAAAGAAGUCUAAGAAAAUCUCCUUGGAAAUAGUUGGUCAGAAGUAAUGGAAUAUUUUUAAUUCCAAGAAGUUAUAAAGAACAACAUCAGACGUUAAUAAAGAGACCAAAAAAGGUCGAACAACAACACUUCCAAGUAAAGUGGAGUAUCACGUCCAUACAAGAUCAUAAUUAACUAAAUUCAAAUGGACGACCAUGGACUCCUUUCUUAUGAACCUCCAUCAAUCUCUUUUUUAUUAUUGUAUGCCAUAUCAAGUAUAUGCUAAAAAUGACCCUAAAAUUGUUAUUAUCAUAAAUGUUUUUUUGUCAUUGUCUCAAAAUAGUCAUUACUAUUUUAAAGGUUUCAUAUCACCGGCCCCAACUUAUUUGGAUUAAACCAUAGUUAUUGUUAUGGUUAUAGUAUGCAGUUACAAAAAAAUUAAUGCAAUUAUCAGCCAAGCAAUAGGUGACAUCUGAAUGUUCACAACGGGAUAUUCUAAACAAAAAAUUUGACACAUAACAUAUUAAAAUCUCACAACAUAAUUUUGUGAGCACUUGAACUCACAAAUAUCCUAAAAUAAUAAUAAAGACAAUCUUACUUUCCUAACAAUCAAGAAGAAAAAGGCUCGUUGCUUAAUAUAUUUUUCAAAAAGAUAGUCUUUCGGGUUGUAUCCAAGUUCACAGUUCACAAAUUUAGUUGAAAGAAGCCAAAAGAAAGAGUUAUUACUUCUUUAUCAAAAAAAUUUAAAACUUUAUCAAAAGAAUGAGUUAUCACUACAACAAAAAUGAUCUUUAACGAUAAUUAAUAGCUUAAUUAUCGCUAAAUAUGUAUUUUCAGAGGCAAUUGGUACUCUGUAUAAAUGUUCCUAAAGUCUAUAGCAACAUUGAAUCCAAUGACAGUUAAUUCAUGUCGGUAAAGGCUGUAGCACUCUUCGUGAACGUGCAUAUUUAUUGCCGAUAAAAAAUAUUUUUGUUGUAGUGUAUUUUGGACAUUUGUUAGUUUUAAGAAAACUUGAUCUCUUAUUAUGCCCAAAAAGAAGAGAAGAGGAAAUAUGACAAAUUAGUUAACUUGCGAUAAAUGAUGUGGACUAAUUGUCUCUAUACAAAUUUUCUAGGAAUAGUGCAAUGGCAUACAAAAUGUUUGUACCUAAGAAAAAACAAUCAAAAUAAUAUACUAACUGUGGCAAACAAGAGAGAAAUCAUUUUGGUUCUUUUAACAAACUUCAUCAUUGGUUCCGUACUAGUUAUCAGAUUUUUGUUGUUGUGUGCUAUCAAAUAUAGCACAACCCACAAGCAAUUUUCCCAAAAAGUAUAUGAAGAAAAACUGUAGAAAGGGACAAAAGAGAAGAUAAACUUUCAAUCAUCCUCAUUGAAAUUUUGAACAUAAUUAAAAAAAAAGUCACCAAAAUAGCAAAAAGAAAUUGCAAUAGAUACAUGAAUCACUAUGAUUUAUAGUAAAAAAUUAAGCUUCAUGAAAUAGGAGGAAAAAAACUUUGAGAAAUGAAAUGCACUUUAUAAGAAACUUAAUUAAUGUAUUUGAUUUCGAAAAAAAAUACAAAUAAUAGUGGUAGAAAUAAAAGAUUUGUUUACUAAAGAACCAAAUGUAAUGAAUUCAGUCAUCAACCAUUUCAGCAGUGUUAUGAGUUGUGCACUGAGAGAUCCAAGAGCAGUAAUGUCGCAUUGCAAUUGAAAUCAAUUUUCUUUGUUUAUAUGAAGAAACCUGUAGAAAGUGACAAAAGAGAGGAUCAAUUUUCAAUCAUCCCUGCUGAAACUUUAACAGAGUUAAAAAAAAGGUCACCAAAAUAGGAAAAUGAAAUUGCCAUAGUUACAUGAAUCACCAUGACUUACAAUAAAGAUUAAGAUCCAUGAAAACUUUUAGGAAUGAAAAAAAUUCCUAAAAACUUAAUUAAUGUAUUUGAAUUUGACUACCCUAUAGAGGGAAAAAAACCUACAAAUUAUAGUGGCAGGAAAUUCCUCUAUUUAUAGACAACAUAGAGUAGUGUGAACAAAUUUUUAUUGUGCCUUAUCCGAGAUGUCACAACUCUUUGGAAAAGUUACAACCCUUCAGAAAGGUCACAACCUUUCAUAAAAGUCAUAAUUUUUCAUAAAAGUUGCAACUCUUCAUAAAAGUCACAACUUUUCAUAAAAGUCACAGCUUUUAAUGAAAAGGGAAGGCUAGUUUUGGAAAUAAAUAAAAUUUAAAAGGGAAUCCUAGUUUAUGGUGGCGCCACGUAGGCGGGCCUAGGGUUCUCUUUUAUAUAAAUUUUUGAUUUUUGAUAUAUGAUUUUUACGUUUACCUUUUUUAUUCUUCUUUCUAUUUUUAUUCUUUCAUUAUUAAAUAUUCUAAAGUCUAACCUUUUGCAUUAUACAAAAUAUAUUGUUGGGUGUUAAUAAAAAUAUCAAAUUUAUUUUUUGGUGUAUUCUUUAAAUUACAAGCACUACAACAAACACUACAAUAAAAACAACUUGUUGCGGUUUCUGAACCUUUCAUAUAAUUCAUUAACAGGCCACCUACCACAAUUUUAUUUCCAUAAUCUAGGGUAUCUUGAUCUUAAAUUUAACUCCCUUCAGGGGCCACUAUCUUCAUCCAUUUGAAACAUGAGCAUACUUAGACUUGGGGAAAUUGAAUGUGCUUGAAGCAAUGAUUAAAUUAGAUGACGGAGACAAAGGUGAGAUCAAAUAUAUGGAACAAUUGAGUGAAUAUUCAAUGUAUGAAGAUUCAGUGAGUUUGGUGAUCAAAGGCCAUGAUACUGAGCUAGAAAAAAUCAACACAAUUAUGACAACCAUAGAUCUCUCAAGCAACCAUUUUGAAGGUGUCAUUCCAAAAAUACUAAAGGAUCUUGGCUCACUUCGGUUACUCAAUUUAUCACGUAACAAUCUCAAAGGUGAUAUUCCAAUGGAACUGGGGCAAUUGAAUGUGCUUGAAGCAAUGGAUCUGUCCUGGAAUCGGCUCACUGGAAAUAUUCCUACUGAAUUGACAAGACUAAAAUUUCUAGCAGUCUUAAACCUCUCUCAGAAUGUUCUUGUCGGUCCAAUUCCUCAAGGUCUACAAUUCAACACAUUUGGAAAUGACUCGUAUGGUGGCAACCUUGAUUUAUGUGGUCUUCCUUUAUCAAAGAAAUGUGGAACGAGUGGUUCAUCACAUGUUCCUCAACCAUCGGAGUCGUAUUUCUUUAGUGGAUUUACGUGGGAAUCAAGGCUACAGUUGUGGACUAGUUGUUGGAACUGUCAUGUGGAGCCUCAUGUUUAAAUAUCGUAAUCCAAAAUGGUUUGUGGAAUUUUUUGAUAGACUCAUGCCUCACAAAAGAAGAAGGCCAAAGAAGAGAGCUCAGAGACGACGGAUUUAAUGGAAGAUUGAGAGGGCCAACUUGUCUUUGUUUGAUUUUGUGGACUAGUUAGUGAACUUUUCUGGUUCUGUUUUUGUCUUUCUGUUUGUUGUUUUGUAUAUGUUUGAAAGAAACAUAAUUAUUAUAUGUGUGGUAUUUUAGUAUCAAUGGUUAUUCAAGUUAAGUCUAUUUCUGUUUCAAGUUGACAGAAGUGAUCUACACAGCCACUCAUUAGCUAUGUUACUUAGACUCUUCAAAAAUGUCAAUGGGUACGUGUUGGAUUCUUCAAAAGUAAUGCAAUUUUUAAGGAAUCAACAUGGGUGUCAUUAUAUUUUAGGAUAGUCGAAGCAACAUAACUCAUCUUUCUUAACAUUUUCUGUUUCUGUAUUUAUUUCUUUUAAAGAUCAUUGCUUUGAUCUUAAUGGCUUUCAACCCAUAUUAGGAACACUUGAAAUGGCUGAACUCAUACACACAGAGGAUAGAAACUAUUCAGCUGUUGACUGAAGUGAUCCACUUAUUAGUACAACAAAACAGGAAAAGGCUACAUCCACCUCUGGGGCUCAUGUUGUUCUGUUUCUUCAAAUGCAAAACACUCUCUAUCAGGAUUUUCUUUAUUUUCAAGGUUCGAAUCCGAAACCCUUGGUUCAAUUUUACCUGGAACCAUGCAUUUAGCAUAACUAUAUGUCCUAUUGCAUUAUAGUUAUUAUACAAAGUGGAAAAGUUCAAGGGAUAAUAACACCAUCUCAAAAGUCGGGUGUGUAACUGAAAAUCUAAAUCAACUUUAGGGGUAUACUUAGGGCUGUUCAAAACUGAACCAUAACCGAUAAGUCAAUCGCAAAAUUGACUUAUUGGUAUUGGAUUAUCGGAUUAACGGUUGGUCAACGGAUUAAAAUUUUAUAGUUAAUGGUGCGGGGCGGAUUACUCAAUGGUGCGGGCCGGAUCACUCAAUUUCCUUCUAGGGUAAACCAUUAACCUUUUAAAAAUUAUCGUAGUUAGGAUAUUUAUUAAGUAAAUACUAAUGCGCUUGCACCCUCAAAAUUUAGUUCACAUGUGUUGUCACGCCCUGAGCCUACACCCUGGACGUGGCGGGCACUCGAAGACCAUUGCUGGUCCCAAGCGAACUGUUGGCCUAGUUUACUUGACUCAGCGGAAGACUUAAACUAAACAAAGAUAAGUUCAUAUAAUAAAUUGGAAUGUUAUAAAGGAACAUUCAACUGGACAUUAAGGCAAACUCAAGUCUGAACAUGGAGUAAUGACAAUGAAAAAACUAAAAACUAACAUCUGACUGUCUAUGAAGCCUCUAAUAACAACUGAGAUGGAUGUUGGGAUAGACCCCACAACAUCCUAAUAAACUAAACUGGAAAGCAAUGAAAUGGAUCCUCCGGAAAGCAAGGAGGCUCACCAACAGACUCUGGACUGCUCACUGGAUCAACGAUGCGUCAGGAUGCCGAUCCUAGUUACCUGUGUUUGCAUCAUAAUACGAUGCAGACCAACUGACAUCAGUACAUUGAGUGUACGAGUAUGCGAGUUGGAAUGCUAAAACAACAUAGACUAGAAAGAAUCUGAGAGAAACUGAAGAACUUACAUGACUCAACUCAACAUGACUGAACUCAUUUCAUUAUAAAUCAGUUUAAAAGCAAGUGCAAUAUAAAGAAAAGUUGUUUAAAAACAUGAUAUUAACUCUGUGUGUAUGCAAGAUACAAAUAACUCUGAGAUGUAUUUAAAAAUACAAUAAACUGAUGUAUAUAAAAAUACAAUAACUUCUGUGGGAGUUUCUCUAACCGACAACCACCACUUAUGAAACUAAGUGGUGAUACAACGUUUUACCUCACGUUACCCAAGGACCAUCNNNNNNNNNNNNNNNNNNNNNNNNNNNNNNNNNNNNNNNNNNNNNNNNNNNNNNNNNNNNNNNNNNNNNNNNNNNNNNNNNNNNNNNNNNNNNNNNNNNNNNNNNNNNNNNNNNNNNNNNNNNNNNNNNNNNNNNNNNNNNNNNNNNNNNNNNNNNNNNNNNNNNNNNNNNNNNNNNNNNNNNNNNNNNNNNNNNNNNNNNNNNNNNNNNNNNNNNNNNNNNNNNNNNNNNNNNNNNNNNNNNNNUUAUCCCGGGAUUAACUUACCUUAUCCCGGGAUUAACUUACCUUAUCCAUUACACCAAACGACCCCUAAGUCUUAAAACAAAGUUAAAAGCCUUUGCAAAAGACUUCUUGAAAAGACUCUAAGAAUUUCUUAGACUUGGCUCUUGACUUUCCUUGAAUUUAAAUUUAGGAAUUCAAGGUUAUGGUUUAUGUUUCUGGAUGAUUUCUAGACGUUUAGAAGUCAUUUAGAGUAGUUAGAAUCAAUGGAAAGUGUUAGUACACUUUAGAAGAACUUAAAUAGGCUAGACGACGGAAAACUGACGAAAAACGACGAUUUGGGCGCAUCCCGGGCGCGCUGCGCCAGCCCCAACUUACUGGGGCUCAAAUCUGGCGCACUGUUGGCGCGCUGCCCCAUCCCCUCGGGCGCAUCUGGGGCGCGUUGCGCCAGCCUCCCUUCAAGCAAAAUUCUAACGAACUUUUGCUCUCGUUUUCUGAUCCUAAAUCGUUUUAAUCUAAUUCUUUUUCUCAAUUUCACUUUAGAUUUAUGUACCCAAAUCAUAUACACAAGGAUCUAACUCAAGGAACUCAAGAACUAACAACUUAGUCAUCAAGAACUCCUAAAACUCAACUCAUGUUCAAGAACAAAAGUAAUUCAAGAACCACAUUCAAUAACAUUCAAAAUCCAAUCUUUUUGAAAUGAAAUCGCUGAAUCAAACAUGCUUGGCACGUGGGUAAACGAACCCAACAUUGAGAUAGACUCACAUACCUUAAUUGAUUGAAUCCUCGGCCAAAUUCGCAAGCAAUUCCUUACGACGACAACGAAUCUAGCUUUUUCCUCCUUUGUCUUUUCUUGCGUUCUUCCUCCAAAACCCUAGUUCUAUUUGGUAAAUGUCUAAACUGAUUUAAUUCAGCUUAGACCCCUAAUUAAUUACCAAAAAUGAAUUAAAAUAAAAGGGUAAGGAAAAGACCAAACUACCCUUUAAAAUCCGGAUUGGACAUUUCCUUAAUCCAACAACCCAACUUCCAAAGGGAAUAUCUCACUCAUAUGAACUCGUAAUCGUGCAAACUUGGCGGCGUUGGAAAGAUAAUUCCAAGAGCUUUACAAUUAUACCUGGAAGUACACCUAACUCAUCUUGAUCUAGGAGUUAUCUCCGUUUGAAGUUGGCCCAAAAAUCAACUUUUCUUAACUUAAACAAAUUUUCCAGAUUUUUGUUAUUUCCAAAAAAAAUGACUAUUUCAACUUCUUAGCUUCUUCCUAGUUAUUUCAAUUUGUGAGAUGUUACAUGUGUCUCACUGUGAUUUACAAUUACUGAAUUACCAGCUUAAGUAGGGCUAGAAAAAAAUGUUUUGUUUGAUGGGAGAUCAAUCUAAUUGUGAUUGAAAGUGAAAGAAGGGAGCACGGAAUGUUGGAGCCAAUACACCAACCGAUAACCAUCCAUUAAUUCCUAACCCGAUACCGAGUCAACCGAUAGCUUAUCCAUUGGCUAGCAGAUUAAUUUCUUUCUCGUGUUUGUAAUUUUAUCUUGUUUUAUUUUUUCUUUCACUUAGACUCCAUAUUUAUUUAUUAAGAAAUUAAUUAAAUAUAUAAUUAUGAAUUUGGUAAUUAGAAUGAGUUGUGAGAGUUAAACGAUAAAUUCAAAAUUUAUAGAAAUCAAAUUUUGGCUCCAUUUCUGAAAGGUGAGGUAAAGAUAGGGCUUGGAGUUUAUGAAAUCUAGAUUUUAGAAAAAGACCGCACCUUAAUAGGCUUUUGAUAGAUUAUUUGAAAAUUUUAAAUAUUAAUAUAUGAUUUGAGCUGAAGUUACUAAACACUUUUCGAACCCAAGCUAUACUUCUUUCUCAGGGUAUACCCUCCACAACUUCACUCUUAAUCAUAUAUUUUGACUUUGAAUCAUUCUAGUACUAGAAUAAGGAUAAUCAGCUAGGCAAUUAAGCAACACUUUCUGGCAUGGUGGUACAACUGCCAACAACUAGAAACAUUUUUCAUAUUUCUUAAAUUCAAUCAAUGUAGUAACUUGUAAACUUAAGUUUCAUAGUUAAGAUAUGGUAAAAAAAAUAAAAAUAAUAUCUCUUUUAUUGAGUAAGGUAUAAUCUACAGAAAUUUUUAUGGGCCUCAAAAAUGGGCUGCUCCUUUUAAACAUGGGAUGGGCUUCUCUUCUCUUAAUGGGCCUUAUGCUGCACGAGCCUGUAUUAGUUGGAGCUCCGAAACAGGAAUAGAACACCGGGUUAAGGAUUUGAAAAUUAUCUUUCCAAAUGACAUUCAAGCUAGGUGCUCUAAUAUAUUUUACUCGCUUUCCUUAACUUCCUUGAUUUAUCUUUAUCUAUACUGACAGUGUAAAACUUAUCACUUAUAAUAGUUAACACGUUAUUUUCCUGAUUUCAAAUUAUUAAUCUCAUGAAGUUUCACUUAUAGUUACUUUUAGAUGACUUGAUAGUGAAAAAAAAUAUUCUUUGAAACUUUGUUUCAAAUUGUCUAGCAUACAAUUAUCCCAGAACAAUGUAGGGGCGGAUCUAGUGAAGCAGCUACGAGUUCAUUCGAACCAAGUAGCUUUGCUUAAGACUCUUUAUAUAUGUUAAAAAAUGAAUUACAUAUUUUUCAACCUUUCAAAAUAAAUGGUACUUGUAUUGUUACCAUGUAGUACCUAAGUGUAAUGGUUACGCAUAAUUUGUAAAUUUUGUAAUGAAGGGUCUAUCGGAAACAACCUCUCUUCUCUACCUCCACAAGUUAUGAUAAGGUCUGCAUACACACUACCCUCCUCCUCAGACCGCACUUGUGGGAUUACAUUGAGUAUGUUGUUGUUUGUUCAUUUAGUUGUUGUGAAAAACUAUAAGAUAGUACCAUUUUUUGUUGUGUGUUACACAUGAUUCAGUCCUUAAGACAGCAAAGCUGGUCUUCUGUAGGAGAUAUUUGUCUCAAGUUCACAUUUGAUAUGUGUUACACAUGGUUCUAUAUAUGUGGAUAGGAAAAAUCUAUGUAGGAGAUAUUUGUCUUAAAUAACAUCACCAUUGAUGCUGGAAUACAAAUCACUUUCCCUAGCCUAGAAGUUUUGCAGUUUUCUUGUAAACUGAAGGAUUUUUCACACUUGUUGAGAAAUGUAAAGACAUUUGUGUACUUGGAUAUUUCUGCUCCCAAUUGCACACGCAAAUGUAUGUGGUCGCGGAAGAAAUAUAGUGACUCUUAACAGAAUCGGAUUAUAUAUCGAACCCAAAAGACUUGUCAAUUAACUAUUUUACUAAAUUAUACUGGUCUAAUUAUUUAUUUAAGAGUGCCAAAAGAAUUGACUUUUAUUUAAAUACUAAGAAUGCAAGAAUUAAAUAAUAAAAUUACUUACAAUGGUUGGAAAAUUUCAGGGCCGCAACAUGCAUAGGGUUCAUGUAUCACAUCUCAUGCAUGAAUUAACUACAGUUAUCAAAUUACUGAUUUACACGGUUGAUUUUAUGAUCGAUCAUGGUCUUCCGACCUCUAAUCGUCUACUCAAUUUAGUUGUUUAACUACAUCGUUGAGUGAGGAUAGACAGUCCUAAUUGACGAGCAUUUAUAUUUCCUCAUGUUUUGUGACCAAGCUAGGUGUUCGUCUGAGCGUCAUUCCUAAACACAAAUCAACUCAAUUUAAUGGAAGAUCAACCUUUUUGUAUCCAUUGGUCUAUCUACCUUAGUGUCUCCUGAUUUUAAGAGUAGACAAUAGAUUUAUCUCUAUGAUGGCCAGUCAAGAAAUACUAAAACAAGAAUACAAAAGUAAUUUAAGCGAUAAUCGAUGUUCAACACUUACACAUAGCUACAACCCUAGAACAAGGGCCUUUAACUACUAAUGUCUAAGAAAAUAUAUAGAAGCCUAAAAAGUAUUGACAACUUUAUAGUUAUACCUAUGAUUCAUCUCCCCCAAUAAUUAUUUCUAUGAACUAUUUAUAGAUAUAGAAAAUUCCAAAUAAAAUAACUGAGUCCAAAACAAAUCGGAAAAUCAAAACCAAACGGAAUUUGACUUCCACGUCAACAAUGGUCGUCCAACUGCCUCAAUUCUCUUUGCUGCCUUCAGAAUCAGCCACGUGGCAACUAAUGUAGGUAAACUUCAUUAAUUUCCUUUCUUUGUACGUUUGAAUGAAUAUUAAGUUGUCUGCUUGAUUUUCUUCUAUAAUCUUUCAUCUUUAAUUCGUUUUAGGUCCAAAUUUUUUCAUCUUCACACCAAUUUAAUCUUAUAAAUAAAAUACACUACUUAGCAUAAUUCAUAAAAUUCAUGCUAAAAAAGGACAAAUAUAUAUAAUAAAUGUAAGGUAAAUAAUGAUUAAAAUAUAUAUUUUUAGCCUCAUAUCAAUAAGAUUCGUGGUCAAAUCCCUAACUGGUUUAAUGGCAUGAGGUGGGGUUCGUAAACCUUUCACAUAAUUCAUUAACAGGCCACCUACCAAAAUUUCAUUACCAUAAUGUAGAGUAUCUUGAUCUUAAAUUUAACUCCCUUCGGGGUCCACUACCUUCAUCCAUAUGUAACCUAAUAUAUAUUCCUUUAACAAUCUGUACAUUGAAGCAACUCACACUUUUAGAUCUUUGGAGGAGAAAUUCCUGCAUUUGAAAGUUCGAUUUUUUUGUGUUUGCCGUAGCAGUGGACUUAUAGGCCUAUUCAUCCUUGUAAUGAAAAUUGAACAUGAAUGAAAAUAAAAACCAAAUGAAAGAAAAAAAAUAUGGAGUAUAUAUUAUUUUGUUAGGUCUUCUUCGUCCUCUAACAAACACUACAAAAUAUGAGUAAUAAGUUGUUAGAAGUGAGUAGUACUCAUCUAUGGACCACAAGUUGCGUACCAUUUAUGAUUGUAUAGAUUCCAUGGAAAAAUUGCAUAGAAAUUUAAUGCAUUUGUACAACUUGGUUUCCUCUAUUCCGAAUGUACAAUAAUUGUUCUCACAAUUGGUUCAAUGACGCGUUUUGACCUUUUAUGAUUAUAUAGAUUCCGUGGAAAAAUUGUACUAAAAUUUAUUGCAUUCAUACAACUUGGUUUCACUUGAUUAAAGGGACCAAUUUCACAUCAUCUUGCUUAACACAUACUGCAGAGAUAGUCGAUCUAUGACCUCGAAAUGAACAACAACAUCUAGAGAAAAUGAGGACAUAGUGAGUAUUAUAUUGUUAAGUCUUCUUCGUGCUCUAAAAAAUCUCGUGAAACACUACAAAAUAUGUGUAACAUGUUGUUAUAAGUGACUAGUACUUAUUCAUGAAGUACAGGUGACUUUGAGUCUUCCUGGAAAUUGACUUUAACACUUAGGAUGUGUUUCUUUUCUUUCGUUAAUUUGUACCUCAUAGUCCCAUGCAUAGACAAGUCAGCAAUGCUACUUUAUGAAAUAUCGUUUAGUUAAUUAAUUGUUCACAUUAUUUAAUGUGGAGGUCGUUAUAACAAUUAAGAGAUGAAAUGGUGUUUAGUUAAUUAUAUCAUCAUUUCUUACGUGACUACUUAUUUUAUUAACUUAUUUAUAUCUGGGCAAUUAUCAUGAACCCGCAUUAUUAUUUUUACGUUUAUCUUUUUUAUUCUUUCAUUAUUAAAUACUCUAAAGUCUAUCAAACGGUAAAACCUUUUGAAUUAUACAAACAAUAUUGUUGGGUGUUAAUAAAAAGAUCAAUCUGUUUUUUGGUGUAUUCUUUAAAUUACAAGCACUAUAACAAAAACAACUUUUAGCUCAAAAGUCACUUAACUAUGAAUUCUUUUCUCAAAAAGUCACUCAACAUUGAAUUUUAACACAAAUAUCACUCAAUUAUGAGUGGUUUACUUACAAAGUCACUCAAUUAUGAUUGUUUUACUUACAAAGUCUGUUAACAUAUUUAAUUGUUUUUUUAAUUAAAAUUUGUUGGUAUAAUUUUCUUAUUUAAAAUUAAUAUUUUAAAAAAAAGUAAUAUCCAUUAAAUAAUUUAAUGAUCUGCCCCGCUAAAAAUAUAAUAUUGAUUUUUUUUUUAAUUGGAAUUCAAGAAUAAUACGGGAAUAAAUUAUUCCAUGCAUCAGAAUUCUAAGCAUUAUGAGGAAUAAAUUAAUUUCCUCUUCAUCCCCUCCCCCUUUCUCAGUUGCUGCCUCUUCUUCCUCUUUUAGUUUUUUUAAUUGGAAUUCAAAAAUAAUACUGGAAUAAUUUCAUGCAUCAGAAUUCCUAAAGCAGAGGAGAAAGAAUCCGACAAUAAUUUAGGAGAAUUAGCGGUAAAAUAAAAUGGGUCAAUAUUAUAUUUUUAGGAGGUCAUUCAUUAAAUGAUUUAAAUGAAUAUUUUUUUAUUUUUUAAAAUAUUGCUUUUAAUAAAAUUUUAUACCAGCAAAUUUAAUUAAAAAAUUAACUAAAUAGGUCAAAUGACUUUGUAAGUAAAAUACUUAUAGUUGAGUGACUUUGUAAGUAAAACACUCAUCAUUGAGUGACCUUUUAGUUAAAAUUCAAGUUGAGUGACUUUCUGAGAAAAGAAGUCAUAGUUGAGUGACUUUCUGAGAAAAAAAAUUCAUAGUUGAGUGACUUUCUGAGAGAGUAGUGCAUAACUGAGUGACAAUAUUAUAUUACGUGGUUUUGAGUAAGUUUUAUUAUUCUAACUUUAUAUUAUAUAUUUUUUCAUUGAAAAUUUUCGUUGUUUGUAUUCUUACUUCAUAAUGGUCUAUGACUUUGUGUACAUCCUACCUUCUUGAAACUUUACUUGUAGGAUUACAUUAAUCAGUAUGUUAUAAGUAUUCAAUUUAUGUUCGAGUAAUCAACACCAAAUAUUUGGGCAUAUCCCUUGACAACAAGCCUAGCCUUGUAUUUAUUGAUAGAACCAUCAGAAUUGAGCUUGGUUCUAAACACCCAUUUUACUCCAAUGACCUUCAUAUCUUUCAGUCGGUCGACUAACUCCCAAGUUUUGUUUUUCUUGAUCAUUAGCAUCUCCUGCUCCAUUGGCGUUUUCUCCAUUUUUUAUCUUGAAGUGCUUCAUCGUGCCCUGCAGGCUCACAAACUGCCACAUUACUUUGUUGGUAGAUGUCAGAGAGUAGUCUUGUACCUCUAAUUGGAAGAUCAUCCACCAACUCAUUUUUCCAGUGAUCCGAUGCCUGCUCCUCUGAAGCUUUGACUGAAAGUUGAUUGUCCUUCCAGUCCCAUUUCUCUUCAUCAACAAAGUGCACAUCUCUACUGACAAUCAUCUUCCCUGUUUGUGGAUUAUAUACUUUGUAGGCCUUGGAGGAUGAGCUACAACCCACAAAUAUUCCAGGAAGUGCCUUCUUGUCAAGUUUGUCUCUUUUAACCUGUGGCACAUGGAAGAAACAAACACAACCAAAUACUUUAGUGAAGCUUAGUGAUGGUUUGUAUCCAUUCCAAGCCUCAAAUGGAGUUUUAUUCAACAAUGCUUUAGUAGGAAGCUGAUUUUGGAGAAAUAUUGCCGUAUUAGCUGCCUCAGUCCAAAAACUUUUCGGCAACUCUUUUUCAUGCAACAUGCACCGCGACAUCUCCAUUAUAUAUCUGUUUCUCUUUUCACUAACUCCAUUUUGUUGCGGAGUAUAUGGAGCAGUAAGCUGAUGAGUAAUACCCGCUUUCUCACAAAAUUUGUUAAAUUGUUCAAAAUUAUACUCUUUUCCAUUGUCAGACCACAGAGAUUGGAUUCUGCAACCACUUUGAUUUUCCACCAUCUUCUUGAACUUCAAGAAAAUUCCAGCCACUUCUGAUUUAUAUUUCAUAAAAAAAAUCCAGCAGAAUCUUGUAUAGUCGUCAAUGAAUAUAACGUAGUAUAGACUACCAUUAAGGGAUGGUGUUCUUUGAGGUCCUGCAACAUCUGUGUGAAUCAGUUGCAACCUUUGAGAAGUCCGCCAUGUUGCUUUAGGAAAUGACUUCUUAUUCUGCUUACCAAAUUGACAAGCUUGACAACUUGGUAAGUGAUCAACUAGAGUUGGUAGUCCUCUUGUCAUAUCUUCCUUCUCCAGCAACAAUAGUGCUUGUAGAUGGCAAUGGCCAAGUCUCUUGUGCCAGGUUUCCGUUACACUUGCCUUCAUGGAAUAAGCUAGUCACUCUUUCUCUGUUGGAUCAAAGGAAAAAAUCCUUCCUCUCAUCUUCACCCUGAAAAUUUCAUUUCCAGUAGUGUCACUGAUUUGACAGUGAUGAUCUUCGAAGAAAACCUUGAAUUCUUUUUCCAUCAGAUGUCCUACGCUUAGCAAAUUCUGAUCAAUUUCAAGAACAUACAGAACCUCUGAAAUUUUCUUUGUGCCAGUGCUCGUCUUGAUAGCUAUGGUUCCAAUUCCUUUGACAGGAAGGUGAUCUCCAGUUCCUAUCCAAACCUUCGAAAUUUCAGUGGGCUUCAACUCCUUGAAUAAACUCUCGUCAUGAGUCAUGUGGUUAGUGCAACCUGUAGUAUCCGGAAAUUUGAAAAUAGCUAUGACGAGGCUGAGAAUUGGAAAUAGUCACUUUUUGGAAAGAAUUCAAAUCUGGAAAUUUGGUUAAGUGUGGGAAAAAAAUGAGUUUUUGGCCAACUUUGAACAGUCAUAACUCCUAGAUCAGGAUAAGUUAGGUGUAGUUCCAGUUAUUUUUGCGAAGCCCUUGGAAUGAUCUUUCCAACACUGCCGAGUUUGCUCGAUUCCGAGUUUGUAUGAGUGAGUUAUGCCCUUUGGAAGUUGGGUUGUUGGUAUAGGAAAGUUCACCCGAAAUUGUAAGGGUAUUUUGGUCUUUUCCCUAACCAAUUCUUUUGGUUAUAUUAGUGUGUUAGACUGAUUUUGGAUUAGUUUUUCCCAUUUUAAAGAGUAAGAGAGAGGGUUUGUGAGUGAAGAGGAGAAGAAGAGGAGAAAGAGGGGAUCAAGCAAGGAUUCAUCAAAGAUCGUCGUGGAUAUCGUCGGGGGUGAUCCCUACUAGGUAUGUGAGUUCAUAGUGUUGGGUUGGUUCUUUCCCCCACACGCCAAUCUCGUUUUAAUUUCGAGAAAAGAUUGAUUGUGUUUGUUGAAGUUGUUGGUUGUGAUUGUGUUGAAGUUCUUGUUGAUUUGGGCAUGUUUUCGGUUGUGUUUCUGGGUUAAAUAUAUUGUAUGUUGAGGGGUUUUAUGAUAUUAAGUGUUUGGGGCUGGAAACUUUGAAGUUGGGAAGGUUUAGAAUUGGAAAAACAAGGAAGAAAAGUCGAAUUUUCGAGGGAAAAGGGGUGGGCCAUCGCGCCUGCCAGCGCGCCCCAAAAGGGGUUCUGAACUUUCCCCCUUGGGGCGGCGCACCUAGCAGCGCGCCAGCAGGCCCCUCUGAAGUUUUAGGGCUGGCGCCCCGCGCCUCUCAGAGCAACAAGGACGCCAACCUUUCCCAUUCAUUCCCCACAUUUUCAUGCAUGUUCCUUAGUAUUGUACUUAUGUUUCAUAGUUGUUUCCAACACUCCAAGGUACGUCUAAACGUCAAGAACUCAUCGAUAAACAUGUGAUCAUAUACCUUGAAUCCAUAAUCCAAUUCAAGGCGAGUUAGGAUCAAGUCAAAGUGAAGUUAAGGGUCAAGUCUAGAAGUUAAGAAGCAAGUCAAAGCAAGUUUUCAAAGGUGUUCAAGAGUCUUUAUUGAACGUUCUAACUUCAUUUUAAGGCUCAAGUUUCAAGUCAAGUAAAGAGUAUAGAGCUUCAAGCUAAGUAAAGAGUCUCAGGUUUCAAGUUAAGUCAAGAGUAUAAAGUUGAGUUCAUUUCUCAAAAACUAUUAGGGACCUAAGUAUUCCCAAAGACGUUUAUAAAUGUUUUUACAUUUGAGUAAGAAGGGAACCAUGUUCUCCAAAAAGAGCCUUUGGGCUAAGUUUGAGUAAUUAUCUCAACUAAAGAAAGAUUUGUUUAAAACACUUAUGAGCUAAAAUAUAUUUUUGGGAGUAGUCUUGAGCACCGAGUUGGGGACAUGAGUUCAUAUUAACUCAACUCUCCAUAAGAACCAUGUGGCCAACAUGGGAUUUAACGGGUCAUACUUUUUAGAUAAUCACGUAAGUUAAGCUAGUGGAUCCACUUAGUAAAGUUAGCUUCCUAUAUCACGGCAAGGUAUAGGAUGGGCCUCGGCAGUGCGAGGUAAAGCGCUGUAUCAUCACUAUAGUUCUUAAAUGAUGGUUGUCGGAUAGAGAAACUCCCACAGCAGUAGAAAGUGCUUGGUUCCUCGAGGAGUUCUGCUUAGUAUGAAUGGGGGUAUGGGACUUCAUUCAUACAUUGCACAAGUAGACCUUGAGAGGAAGCAUGGUAUUUUCAUGAUAUUAAAAAUAUGAUUUUUACGUCAUGUUUUAAGAGUUUUACAAGCUUUAUAUAUUGCAUGUGUCUUAUUGCUUUAUAUAUUGAGUUCAGUUAUUCAUGAGUCCUCCUUGCUUUCCAUAGGACUCGGUUAUUUUGUGUUCUUAGUUUUGUUUUAUUAGGGUGUUGCGGGGUCUGUCCCAACAUCCAUCUCAGUAUUUUUAGAGGCUUCACAGACAGUCAGUCAGUAAGUUUUGAGUCUCUCAUCUAUGUAUAUAUAUAAUAUUCUAUUUUGAGACGCGAGUUGCUUUUUUGGCUAGCUUUUGUCAGUUAGGUUGUUUUAUGACCUUUCAUUGCAUUGAGUUAUGCUGUUGAGUUAAGUUUCUGUUGAGUUAAGAAAAGCCAGGCCAAGGGUUCGCUUGGGGGCCAACAAUGGUGUUCGAGUGCCGGCCACGUCCAGGGUGUAGGUUCGGGGCGUGACACAACCACUGUCAACUAACCAAGAAUCUGUUGAGCUCUUACUUGAAAAGCAUGUUGCAAUAAAAGGAUGAUCUUCUUCUUCUUGAUCAACAACUUGAGCAUUUCCUUCCUCCUGCGGGGCCUAAUUCUUGCAAAUCACUGCUUCGUGUCCAAGCUUAUUGCAUUUCUUACAUUUAGCAUCAAGUCUCUUCCAACACUUGAAUGGUGCAUGGCCUUUUCUUCCACAAUGGUGACAAGGGGGAUAACUUUUUUUCGCACUUCCUCCCUUAGUUUUGUUGUUGGCUGAUGUUUCUCCUUCACACACUGCUUGAUUCUUUUUCUUCUUCUGAAUUUUGUUAACCUGAUGCUUACUGACAAGUGCCCCUUCUGUUGUAACCUCCUGUCUCAUGAGUCUUCUUUGCUCUUGAGCUUUCAGGGAAUUGAGCAACUCUGUCAAACUAAUCUUUGACAAAUCCUUAGUAUUUUAUAAGGUUGUAAUUGUUGCUUCAUACCUUUCAGGAACUGUUACAAGGAUCUUCUCAACAAUUCUCGAGUCUGAAAAUGUAGAGCCGAGUAGCCUCACCUUUUUUGCAAUAUUUAGAAGUCUAUCCGAAUAUUCCUUCACUGUUUCAGAUUCCUUCAUUUUUUGCAAUUCAAACUCCCUAAUUAAGUUUAAAACUUGCAUACCUUUUAUUCUCUCAUCUCCAGAAUACUCUUCCUUAAGAUAAUCCCAUACUUCUUUAGCAGUUUUCAGAGACAUUAUUCGCGUGAAAACUAUUGACGAUACAACAGCAAAUAAACAUGCCUUGGCCUUCGAUUUCUUUGUCUUCUGUUCCUUGUGUGCUUUAAUCUGAGCAAUGGUAGGAUUAUUUGGUAGGGCUGGAAUAUCGUAAUCCUCUUCCACAGCUUCCCAGAGAUCCAAAGCAUCCAAGUACGUCUCCAUUCAUACUGCCCAAAUCUGAUAAUUAUCUCCAUCAAAGACCGGCGGAGCAAUUGGUGAGAAACUUGCUUCAGCAUCCAUGGCUACUCCAACUCGAUCACAAAUCCCUUAAGAUGAAAGCUCUGAUACCAACUGUUUUUAGUAAGACUAAUGACAGAUAACACAAUGAAGACAAUGUCUAGUUUGCUACAGAAAGGAAAGCAGGAGAAUACAAGGAAUUUAAAUGUGAAGAUAACUAAGAGAAAAGCUUAUGCAGAAAGUUGUAUUUCAGUAAAAUCAACCAAAAAUACAUAAACAUACAAUUAAGUAACUGAUAUAGAUCAUGGUCCUACUUUUAAGUCAUGGUACUAACCAUGGUAACUACCCCUAAAAUAACUGAAAAAAGAAAUACAGGAAACUUAGAAAUAGAUCCUGCAGUCCUAAAGCAACUAACUAAUAGUCGUAAAUGGUAAUCGAUUUGAAGGACCUGUCCCUGUGUCGUUGCUCAAAUGUCAUAAUUUAGAAGUUCUUGAUGUGGGGAACAAUGCUAUAAAUGACACGUUUCCAUCUUGGCUUGAAAUUCUUCAAGAGCUGCAGGUCCUUAUAUUAAAGUCGAACAAGUUCCAUGGACCUAUAAGUACGUGUCAAACUAAGUUUUGCUUUCCCAAGUUGCGAAUUUUUUAUUUUUCUCGUAAUGAUUUCAGUGGCUCACUUCCUGCAAAAGUUUUUGGAAACUUCAAGGCAAUGAUCAAAUUAGAUGACGAAGACACAAGAGAGAUCAGGUACAUGGAAUCUAUGUCGAAUUUGUCAUCUAUCGCAUCGUAUGAGGAAUCAGUGAGUUUGGUAAUCAAAGGGCACGUUAUUGAGCUACAAAGAAUCAGCACAAUUAUGACAACCAUAGAUCUCUCAAGCAACCAUUUUGAAGGUGUCAUUCCGGAAACACUAAAAGAUCUCAGCUCACUUUGGCUACUCAAUUUAUCCCAUAACAAUCUCAUAGGUCAUAUUCCAAUGGAAUUGGGGCAAUUGAAUACACUUGAAGCUUUAGAUCUCUCCUGGAAUUGGCUCACUGGAAAGAUUCCGCAGGAAUUAACAAGAAUGAACUUUCUGGCCUUCUUAAACAUCUCUCAAAAUCAUCUCGUCGGACCAAUUCCUCACAGUCUACAGUUCAACACAUUUGAAAAUGACUCGUAUGGCGGCAACCUUGAUUUAUGUGGUCCUCCUUUAUCAAAACAAUGUGGAACGAGAGAUUCAUCACAUGUUCCUCAAGCAUUGGAGUCCUAUUUUUUUAGUGGAUUUACAUGGGAAUCAGUAGUCAUAGGCUACAGUUUUGGACUAGUUGUUGGAACUGUCAUGUGGAGUCUCAUGUUUAAAUAUCGUAAGCCAAAAUGGUUAGUGGAAUUUUUUGAUGGACUCAUGCCUCAGAAAAGAAGAAGGCCAAAGAAGAGAGCUCAGAGACGACGGACUUAAUGGAAGAUUGAGAGGGGCCAACUUGUCUUUGUUUGAUUUUGUGGACUAAUUAGUGAACUUCUCUGGUUCUGUUUUUGUCUUUUUAAUAUUCUGUUUGUUGUUUGUAUAUGUUUGAUAGAAACAUAAUUAUAUAUGAGUUAUUUUAGUAUCAAUGGUUAUUCAAGUUAUGUUUCUGUUUCAAGUUGACAUAAGUGAUCCACACACCAAACUUAUUAAUUAGCUAUGAUACCCGGACUUUUCAAAAAUGCCAACAGAUACUUGUUGGAUUCUUCAAAGUAUUGCAUUUCUCAAGGAACCAACACAGGUGCGACAUCAUUAUAUUUUAGGAGAGUCGGAGCAACAUAGUUCAUUAGUACAACAAAAAGGAAAAAGCAAAGCAGUAAGCACAUAGAGUUUGGUUCAUGAUUGAAAUCACUUGAUAUUAGAAAGUUCAUAUAUUCAGCAUAACUGCAUGUCCAUUUUACAUUACAGUUCUUCUUAUACAAACUAGAAAAGAAAAUCUUGUGUUUACAGAAACUGAAAAUUGAUUUUCUAUAAUGUAAUACAUUUGCAUUGACCACACUACCCUUUUGUCACAGUGUUUUAUAGGUUACGAAGUUUAAGAAAAAAAAGUAAGAUUUUUUAAAUUUGUGAUUUUGAAUAUGACGUGCGAUUUUUGUGGCUAUAUAUAAAAGUAUGAAGUGUUGAUCUUUUUUGAAAUAGAUUAAUAGGAAAUAGUGUUACGUAAAAUGAAAGACAGAAUGUACUAUAUAGUGUGAUAUUGAACCAGAUCUUGAGAUAUAUAGAGUGCAAACUAGCUAGCUGUAAAGUAUCAACUUUGUCCCCAUUAAGUUUUUUCUACUACAAAAAAACUAGAAAAGUGAAAAGUGUUGUGGAAAAUUAUAGAAUGUACCUAACAUGUUUGAAAACAACUAAUCAGGAAUUUCUGAUACAAUUUCUCUGCAAUCUUUAACAUUAAAUAUUGACCAAGUCAAGUCUCUCUGGUGGUGGAAUUAGAAUGUUGAAUUAGCUUUACUUUUAUUUCUUUCUUGUUUAACAUCUUAUAUUUAUAAAUAAAAUAAGGCAACAUGUCCUAUCAUUAUUAUACUAAAUUUAUUUUUCUUCUUGUUUAAGAGCUUAUAUUUCUGUAAAGAAUGUGUAUGCUAUAUUUUUACAUUUUUCACUUCUGAAUAAGUAGUAGUAUAUGAAUCUUGCAUAAUAUAACCUGCUUUUCCAAGAGGCCUUUGUGUAUUAAAUUUUUUGUAUCUAUUAUCUAGAUUAAGCUUCAUCUAGAUAAUGCAAAAACCGACUCUGGUUAGUCUUCGCGGAAAUUUGCCUAAAGACUUAGAAGUCAUCGUCUGAUAGUUGCAGUAAAGUACCCCUUUUUUCUUUGUUGCUUAAUUAAAUACGAGACGGUCCUAUGAAGAAUAAUGGAGUUUCCCUCAUUAACUUAAUGUGAAAACUCAUGUGUAACUAACAAGUUUGAAAACAGCACAAGAGACAACUAAUCAAACACCAACUUGGAAAUUUCUCAUAAUAGCUUUUAGGAACGCUUUGUAUAAUCCAAUGUUUUUUUGAGCUAUUGACUUAGUACAACACAACAGGAAAAGGCUGCAUCCACCUGUGGGGCUCAUGUUGUUCAUGGGUUAUUUAUCAGUCUAGACCUUAGUGGUAGUUAUCUUUAUGGAACUGUAGAGAAUAGCAGAAGAAAAGUAUAAUCUGCUAGCCCAAGAUCAUUAACUAUAAAAGAUCGGAAUAUUCAACUAAAGAAGAGGAAGCUAGAAAGAACUUGUUUAUGGAAUAAGACUCUUUUAUUUGGGUUGUUCUUGAGUUGUAUACAAAUGACUGAGGCCACCCCUAUUUAUACUUAUGUGGGGAUGGUUCUAGACAUUACAAGAUCUAGACUAUUUUCUACAGUGAGUGUUACAUACGGGACCAAUUUCACAUCAUCUUGCGUAACAAACAAUGCAGAAAUAGUUAAUGACCUCGAAAUGAACAACAACAUCUUGAGAAAAUGAGGACAUAAGGGGUAUUAUUUUGUUAAGUCUUCUCCGUCCUCUAAAAAGUCUUGUGGAACACUACAAAAUAUGAAGUAACAAGUUGUUAGAAGUGAGUAGUACUCAUCCAUGGACCACAAGUUGUGUAGUUAGUGAUGCCAAGGUUGUAUUAUUUUUUCUCCCUUUAUGCCAAAGUUGGACAAAAUGAAUAUUGUAUAUAUAAUUGGUACUAUCAAACAAAAUUUGAAGACUUGAGUCUUUCUGGAAAAUGACUUAAAACACUUUGGACAACUUUUUUGCAAUCACAAAUUAGUUAGUGGUAGAUGUGGGGGCAAAUACCCCAUUUUAUUUGUCUGGAUAUGUUUCAUUCUCUUUUUCUAUUCACACUUUUACAGUAAAGAUGAAAGAGAAAAUAAUUUAUGUGUGAACAAAUUAAAUAUACCACAACAUGAUUUUCUUAAAAAUAAAAAAAAUAAAAAAAGUAAUUUUUGUACAAGUAGGGAUAUAUGUGAAGCCACUUUUGUAACAACGGGUAUAUUAACUCUAAAAUGACAAAGUUGAGGGAUAUAUCAUGCCCUUUUCCUUAAUGUGCCUUGCAAUGAUAACAAUAUAAGUUGAAUAGGAUACAGUUCACUACAAUUAUACCACAAAAACAACUUUUUUGAUGUAGUGUCGAUCACUACACCUUUAUCUUGAGUCGAGGGUCUACGAAAACAGCCUCUCUACUACUUUGGUUAUUCUCCAUCUCUUUCAUGUUUGAACUGUAUCAUAUAGAUGGAGUUUCCCUCAUUAACUAAAUGUGAAAAGUCUUGGAAAACAACACAAGAGACAACUAAUCGGAAAUUUCUCAUAAAAUUUCUAAUUAUGCAGGAAAUUAAGACACAUAUCAAACAAAAUUUUGAAUAAAAAGCAAAUAAAAAAAUUAAAAAAAAAUUCCACACGGUAUUAUUGUUCAUUUUUUUCCUCACUUGACUUAGUCAAGAAAUAGUUUCUCUCAUUGGAAAUUUCUUAGAAGUUCAGCAAAAAACAAUUCCACAUAAUGGGACCAAAUUCACAUCAUCUUGCCUAACACACACUGCAGCGAUAGUUAAUGACCUCAAAAUGAACUCAACAUCUAGAGAAAAUUAGGACAUAAAGAGUAUUAUUUCGUUAAGUCUUCUCCGUACUCUAAAAAGUAUUGUGGAACACUACAAUAUAUGAGUAACAAGUUGAUUUUUAAUACCAUUGUUUAAUCUCCUUAAUGUUUUGAGUAAGAUUUGAUUUUUUUUUUUACGCGAUGCGUGACGCCUAGGCAGACGUGCCCUGAGUAAGAUUUGGUUAUUCUAACUUUAUAUUAUAUUUUUUCAUUGAAUUUUUUUGUUGUUUGUACUCUUCCUUCAUAAAGGUCUGUGUAUAUCCUACCUUCUUGAAACUUUACUCGUAAGAUUACAUUAAUCAUUAUGUUAUAGGUAUUCAAUAUACAUAGGACACUUAGAACUAGUAUAUAUAUGUAUGGAUGAUACUGACUGAUUUGUAAGAAGAACACAUCCAUCCUGAACACAAACAAACAAAAAAUGGUCAUGAGUCUGUUUUUCUUUUAUUCAUUUCUAUGUUUUGUGUUUUUAUUAAGUGAAUGCUUUUCUUCAUCCUUUGAUCAUCAUCUUUGCUCUCCCACUGAAGUUUCUGCUUUGCUUCAGUUUAAGCAAUCCUUUAAAAUAUCUGAUUACUCUACUCUUCAGUGUGAUACUUCUUUCCCAAAAACAAAGUCUUGGAAUGAGAGUAGGGAUUGCUGCAGUUGGGAUGGAGUCACUUGUGACUUAUUAAACGGUCAUGUUAUCGGGUUAGACCUUAGCUGUAGUCAGCUUCGUGGAAGUAUUCAUCCCAAUAGCAGCCUCUUCCAACUUCAUCAUCUCCAAACACUAAACCUUGCUUACAAUAACUUUUCAACUUCUUCAAUCUCACAUAACAUUGGCCGAUUGAGGAAUUUGAGGCAUCUCAACCUUUCUAAUUCUUUCUUUAGUGGGAAAAUCCCAACAGAAAUCUCAUUCCUUUCCAAUUUGGUUUCACUUGAUCUUUCUUAUAGUUAUGGAUUACAACUUGAUGAGAGAACAUUUGAAACAAUGCUUCACAACUUUACAAAUCUGGAGGUACUAGCUCUCUUUCUUGGCAACAUCUCGUCACCGAUACCUGUAAGUAUUCAUCCCAAUAGCAGCCUCUUCCAGCUUCAUCAUCUCCACACACUAAAC
rnacentral:lncRNA from 1 species